rnacentral:lncRNA from 1 species
CGCAAUAUAUAACGAUCCCAAAUGCGCAAAUUACUUGAUUCUGCAGGAAGGCACAGCUGAGAUUGUUCUGUUCAUGGACAAAGAACAGAGAUACUGUGCAAAUAAAAUUAUUGAAUAAUUAAUCAUUGAAAGUAUGUUGAAUGGGCUGAGAUUCCAUCCAUUGCGGUUCUCGGGAUGUAUGUCUGCUAUCACCAGAAAAUGUGUUCAGAAAUUUGUUCCAUGCACGUUCAAUGCAACAUUGAUGCCCAAGCAAGGAGCUUGUAAUGUAUUAUCUCGCAGGCUCUUCAGAGUUCAGACAGAAGCUCGCAACUCGUCUAAAUUUUCCACUGGUUCAG